ACCAGACUCCUACGGGAGGCAGCAGUGAGGAAUAUUGGUCAAUGGGCUUACGCCUGAACCAGCCAAGUCGCGUGAGGGAAGACUGCCCUAUGGGUUGUAAACCUCUUUUGUCAGGGAGCAACGCCGGCUACGUGUAGCCGGACUGAGAGUGCCUGAAGAAAAAGCAUCGGCUAACUCCGUGCCAGCAGCCGCGGUAAUACGGAGGAUGCGAGCGUUAUCCGGAUUUAUUGGGUUUAAAGGGUGCGCAGGCGGGCUGUUAAGCCGGCGGUAAAAAUUCAGGGCUCAACCCUGUCGAGCCGUCGGAACUGGCAGCCUUGAGUGGGCGAGAAGUAUGCGGAAUGCGUGGUGUAGCGGUGAAAUGCAUAGAUAUCACGCAGAACGCCGAUUGCGAAGGCAGCAUACCGGCGCCCGACUGACGCUGAGGCACGAAAGCGUGGGGAUCGAACAGGAUUAGAUACCCCUGUAC
rnacentral:rRNA from 1 species